GGUUAAGCGACUAAGCGUACACGGUGGAUGCCCUGGCAGUCAGAGGCGAUGAAGGACGUGCUAAUCUGCGAUAAGCGUCGGUAAGGUGAUAUGAACCGUUAUAACCGGCGAUUUCCGAAUGGGGAAACCCAGUGUGUUUCGACACACUAUCAUUAACUGAAUCCAUAGGUUAAUGAGGCGAACCGGGGGAACUGAAACAUCUAAGUACCCCGAGGAAAAGAAAUCAACCGAGAUUCCCCCAGUAGCGGCGAGCGAACGGGGAGCAGCCCAGAGCCUGAAUCAGUGUGUGUGUUAGUGGAAGCGUCUGGAAAGGCGCGCGAUACAGGGUGACAGCCCCGUACACAAAAAUGCACAUGCUGUGAGCUCGAUGAGUAGGGCGGGACACGUGGUAUCCUGUCUGAAUAUGGGGGGACCAUCCUCCAAGGCUAAAUACUCCUGACUGACCGAUAGUGAACCAGUACCGUGAGGGAAAGGCGAAAAGAACCCCUGUGAGGGGAGUGAAAUAGAUCCUGAAACCGCAUGCAUACAAGCAGUGGGAGCACCUUUGUGGUGUGACUGCGUACCUGUCUCUUAUACACACU
rnacentral:rRNA from 1 species